UACAGAGGUCUCAAGCGUUGUUCGGAUUCAUUGGGCGUAAAGGGUGCGUAGGCGGCGCGGUAAGUCGGGUGUGAAAUUUCGAGGCUUAACUCCGAAACUGCAUUCGAUACUGCCGUGCUUGAGGACUGGAGAGGAGACUGGAAUUUACGGUGUAGCGGUGAAAUGCGUAGAUAUCGUAAGGAAGACCAGUGGCGAAGGCGGGUCUCUGGACAGUUCCUGACACUGAGGCACGAAGGCCAGGGGAGCAAACGGG
rnacentral:rRNA from 1 species